rnacentral:rRNA from 1 species
UACGUAGGGGGCAAGCGUUAUCCGGAAUUACUGGGUGUAAAGGGAGCGUAGACGGUGAUGUAAGUCUGGAGUGAAAGGCGGGGGCCCAACCCCCGGACUGCUCUGGAAACUAUGUGACUGGAGUGCAGGAGAGGUGAGCGGAACUCCUAGUGUAGCGGUGAAAUGCGUAGAUAUUAGGAGGAACACCAGUGGCGAAGGCGGCUCACUGGACUGUAACUGACGUUGAGGCUCGAAAGCGUGGGGAGCAAACAGG